rnacentral:rRNA from 1 species
UACAGAGGGUGCGAGCGUUAAUCGGAAUUACUGGGCGUAAAGCGCGCGUAGGCGGCUUUGCAAGUCGGGUGUGAAAUCCCCAGGCUUAACCUGGGAACUGCAUUCGAGACUGCAUUGCUAGAGUAUGGGAGAGGGAAGUGGAAUUUCCGGUGUAGCGGUGAAAUGCGUAGAUAUCGGAAGGAACAUCAGUGGCGAAAGCGACUUCCUGGACCAAUACUGACGCUCAUGUGCGAAAGCGUGGGGAGCAAAACAGG